rnacentral:rRNA from 6 species
GGUUAAGCGACUAAGCGUACACGGUGGAUGCCCUGGCAGUCAGAGGCGAUGAAGGACGUGCUAAUCUGCGAAAAGCGUCGGUAAGGUGAUAUGAACCGUUA